rnacentral:rRNA from 1 species
GUAAACUCCUUUUUUCAGGGAGGAAGUUCUGACGUGUACCUGAAGAAUAAGCAUCGGCUAACUCCGUGCCAGCAGCCGCGGUAAGACGGAGGAUGCAAGUGUUAUCCGGAAUUAUUGGGCGUAAAGCGUCUGUAGGUGGUUUAUCAAGUCUAUUGUUAAAGGAUAAAGCUCAACUUUAAAACUGCAAUAGAUACUGUUAGGCUCGAGUACAGUCGAAGUAGAGGGAAUUUCCAGUGAAGCGGUGAAAUGCGUAGAUAUUGGAAGGAACACCAAUGGCGAAAGCACUCUACUAGGCUUUAACUGACACUGAGAGACGAAAGCUAGGGUAGCAAAUGGGAUUAGAUACCCCAGUAGUCCUAGCCGUAAACGAUGGAUACUAAACAUUGCGUGUAUCGAUCCGCGUGGUGUUAUAGCUAACGCGUUAAGUAUCCCGCCUGGGGAGUAUGCUCGCAAGAGUGAAACUCAAAGGA